rnacentral:tRNA from 1 species
UCAAGGAAAAGAGAACCCCCAUAUCUUUAAUCUCCAAAAUUAAAAUUUUAAUUAAACUAUUCCUUG